rnacentral:misc_RNA from 1 species
AAGUCGUAACAAGGUUUCCGUAGGUGAACCUGCGGAAGGAUCAUUAUUGAAUAAACCUGGCUUGGUUGUUGCUGGUCUUUUCGGAGACAUGUGCACGCCUUGUCAUCUUUAUAUUUCCACCUGUGCACCUUUUGUAGACUUGAAGACAGUUUUCCGAGGCAACUCGGUCGUGAGGAAAUGCUUUAAAUGGCUUUCCUUGAUUGUCUUCAAGCCUAUGUUUCAUAUACACCAUAAGAAUGUAACAGAAUGUCAUUAUUAGACUUAUGUCUUAUAAACUAUAUACAACUUUCAACAACGGAUCUCUUGGUUCUG